rnacentral:snoRNA from 1 species
GGACUGAUGAAGGGCUAAGCCAUACCCUCUCUGCUCUGCUCCUGAAG